UACGGGGGGAGCAAGCGUUGUUCGGAUUUACUGGGCGUAAAGGGCGCGUAGGCGGCCACCGCAAGUCGGUUGUGAAAUCUCCGGGCUUAACCCGGAAAGGUCAAUCGAUACUGCGGGGCUAGAGUGCAGAAGGGGCAACUGGAAUUCUCGGUGUAGCGGUGAAAUGCGCAGAUAUCAGGAGGAACACCAAUGGCGAAAGCAGCUCUCUGGGACGGUACUGACGCUGAGACGCGAAAAGCCGUGG
rnacentral:rRNA from 1 species